rnacentral:rRNA from 1 species
AGUGAGCGCUGGCGGUAGGCCUAACACAUGCAAGUCGAACGGCAGCACAGUAAGAGCUUGCUCUUACGGGUGGCGAGUGGCGGACGGGUGAGGAAUACAUCGGAAUCUACUUUUUCGUGGGGGAUAACGUAGGGAAACUUACGCUAAUACCGCAUACGACCUACGGGUGAAAGCAGGGGAUCUUCGGACCUUGCGCGAUUGAAUGCGCCGAUGUCGGAUUAGCUAGUUGGCGGGGUAAAGGCCCACCAAGGCGACGAUCCGUAGCUGGUCUGAGAGGAUGAUCAGCCACACUGGAACUGAGACACGGUCCAGACUCCUACGGGAGGCAGCAGUGGGGAAUAUUGGACAAUGGGCGCAAGCCUGAUCCAGCCAUACCGCGUGGGUGAAGAAGGCCUUCGGGUUGUAAAGCCCUUUUGUUGGGAAAGAAAAGCAGCAGGUUAAUACCCCGCUGUUCUGACGGUACCCAAAGAAUAAGCACCGGCUAACUUCGUG